GGCGGUUUAGCCAAGCGGUCUAAGGCGCCAGACUAAGGCAAUCACGUGACUGCUGACGUAAUCUGGUUCUUCGGAGCGUGGGUUCGAAUCCCACAGCCGUCA